AGGUCGAGAUUGGCGCAAUGCUGUCGUCCAUCCAGAUUGCACUAGUCCCGGCCUUC
rnacentral:pre_miRNA from 1 species